CACGUAGGGGGCAAGCGUUGUUCGGAAUUAUUGGGCGUAAAGGGCAUGUAGGCGGUUUCGUAAGCCUGGUGUGAAAUCCUGCAGCUUAACUGUAGAAUUGCAUUGGGUACUGCGAGACUUGAAUCAUAGAGGGGAAACUAGAAUUCCAGGUGUAGGGGUGGAAUCUGUAGAUAUCUGGAAGAAUACCGGUGGCGAAGGCGGGUUUCUAGCUAAUGAUUGACGCUGAGGUGCGAAAGUGCGGGGAGCAAACAGG
rnacentral:rRNA from 1 species